ensembl:lncRNA
UUUGUUUGUUUUUUUAAAUUUAUUUAUUUAAUUUAUUUAGAAUAUUUUUCCAUGAUUCCAUGAUUCAUGUUCUUUCCCUCUCCUCUUUCUAUCUCCUCCCCUCCUGUAAUCAACAAGCAAUUCCACUGGGUCUUACAUGUGUCAUUGAUCAAGACCUAUUUCCAUAUUAUUAAUAUUUGCACUGGGGUGGUCACUUGGAGUUUACAUCCCCACUUUUACCCCCAUCAAACCAUGUGAUCAGGCAGUUGUUUUUCUUCUGUGUUUUUACUCCCACAGUUCUUCCUCUGAAUGUGAAUAGUGUUCUUUCUCAUAAGUCCAUCAGAAUUGUCCUGGAUCAUUGCAUUGCCACUAAUGGAGAAGUCCAUUACAUUUGAUUGUGUCACAGUGCAUCAAUCUCUGUUUAUAUUGUUCUCUUGGUUCUGCUCUUUUCACUCUGCAUCAAUUCCUGGAGAUCAUUCCAGUUCUAAUGAAAUUCCUCCAAUUCAUUAUUCCUUUUAGCACAAUAGUAUUCCAUCACCAACAGAUACCACAACUUGUUUUAUAAUGUUUUGCCACCACAAAGAGCAUGGCUAUAAAUAUUUUUGUACACAUCUUUUUCCUUACGAUCUCUUUGGGGUAUAAACUCAGCAGUGGUAUGGCUGGAUCAAAAGGCAGACAGUUUUUAAAACUUUUUGGGCAUAGUUCCAAAUUGACUUCCAGAAUGGUUGGAUCAAUUCACAACCCCACUAGUGUAAUAGAGGGCAGUACUAGGAUAUUUGUGGUAAUAAGGACAGGGACAGCAGGAAGCCAGCUAAGGGGCAAAGCUGAAUCUUACACUCCUCCCCCACACUACUUCCUGUCCCUUCCCCAACUGAAUCUAAAGGCUCUUCUCAAGAAUGGUGGUCUGAAAGAGGCUGGCAUGGAUAAAAACAUACAGAGGAGACUCCUGGGUUAUGCACGGUCAUUGACAGAGUGAAUCGACUGGUCGGAGCUUGGCAGAGCCUUCCUGACAUUCAGCAUCCAUAACAUUUCUAAUGCUUCAGUGGCUAAAGAAGCCACAUUAAUAAAAACCAGAGGAAUCCUGAGAAUCA